CGGACCUGACUGCUAUCGGAUUGAUACUAAGCCAUGCGAGUCUUUGUAGUAAUACAAGGCAGACGGCUCAGUAACACGUAGUCAACCUACCCUAUGGACAAGAAUAAUCUCGGGAAACUGGGCAUAAUUCUUGAUAGAUCAUAAUGCCUGGAAUGGUUUAUGGUUAAAAUGAUUCGUCGCCAUAGGAUGGGACUGCGGCCUAUCAGCUUGUUGGUGAGGUAAUGGCCCACCAAGGCGAUUACAGGUACGGGCUCUGAGAGGAGAAGCCCGGAGAUGGGUACUGAGACACGGACCCAGGCCCUAUGGGGCGCAGCAGGCGAGAAAACUUUGCAAUGUGCGAAAGCACGACAAGGUUAAUCCGAGUGAUUUCUGCUAAAGAAAUCUUUUGCCAGUCAUAAAACCACUGGUGAAUAAGGGGUGGGCAAGUCCUGGUGUCAGCCGCCGCGGUAAAACCAGCACCUCAAGUGGUCAGGAUGAUUAUUGGGCCUAAAGCAUCCGUAGCCGGCUUUGUAAGUUUUCGGUUAAAUCCAUGUGCUCAACGCAUGGGCUGCCGAAAAUACUGCAUGGCUAGGGAGUGGGAGAGGUAGACGGUACUCAGUAGGAAGGGGUAAAAUCCUUUGAUCUAUUGAUGACCACCUGUGGCGAAGGCGGUCUACCAGAACACGUUCGACGGUGAGGGAUGAAAGCUGGGGGAGCAAACCGGAUUAGAUACCCGGGUAGUCCCAGCUGUAAACGAUGCAGACUCGAUGAUGCAUUGGCAUAAUAGCCAGUGCAGUGUCGCAGGGAAGCCGUUAAGUCUGCCGCCUGGGAAGUACGUACGCAAGUAUGAAACUUAAAGGAAUUGGCGGGGGAGCACCACAAGGGGUGAAGCCUGCGGUUCAAU
rnacentral:rRNA from 1 species